CGAUGCCUUGUGUUCUCCAGACUCCAAUGCAGUGAUUCUUCUGUCAAAAUAAAAGACAGGGAAAAUUCGAUGAGGAAGUCCACGCCAAGCUUCAUCUUUUGGGCUGACCGAACAAGAGAUCACGAAAUGUUAUUUUUCUUCAGAUUGCUGGUGGAUAUGACCAAACGGAUGUGAUUAGGAGUUUUUGGGUGAGGAAGGGAGGCCCCUGCAGGGGCUCUGUCUGACAGCUGUUGUUGAAGUUAUGUUAGGCUUUGCAGACCACAGGGAGCAGACAAGACAAUGACUGAGUUUUACAAUACAGCCACUUAAUGAAAUUAAACAUUCCAGGUUGUAACCAACCUGGCCACUGAGGAGGUGAUGAAAUGUCAGUAUAACAUCCAAGCCACUCUGUAGCACCCCUGAGUAGGUACACUUUUUGAAUGGACAAUCAGAUCCAUGCAAAUAUCAAGUCUACGUAUAGGCUGCCCUAGUAGUACAGAACUUGCCUCUGAGACUACAAAACCAUCUGGAUAAGGAAAAA